GAACGAGAAAGUGGAGCAAUCCAUGAGUAAAGUGGCGACCGGGUGAGUAACACGUGACUAACCUACCUCCGAGUGGGGAAUAACUCCGGGAAACCGGGGCUAAUACCGCAUAACAUCGCAAGAUCAAAGCAGCAAUGCGCUUGGAGAGGGGGUCGCGGCUGAUUAGCUAGUUGGCGGGGUAACGGCCCACCAAGGCGAAGAUCGGUAUCCGGCCUGAGAGGGCGCACGGACACACUGGAACUGAAACACGGUCCAGACUCCUACGGGAGGCAGCAGUGGGGAAUUUUGCGCAAUGGGGGAAACCCUGACGCAGCAACGCCGCGUGGAGGAUGAAGCCCUUUGGGGCGUAAACUCCUUUCGACUCGGAAGAUAAUGACGGUACGAGUGGAAGAAGCACCGGCUAACUCUGUG
rnacentral:rRNA from 1 species